UACGUAGGCAGCGAGCGUUGUUCGGAGUUACUGGGCGUAAAGGGUGUGUAGGCGGUUGUUUAAGUUUGGUGUGAAAUCUCCCGGCUCAACUGGGAGGGUGCGCCGAAUACUGAAUGACUUGGAGUGCGGGAGAGGGUAGUGGAAUUCCCGGUGUAGUGGUGAAAUGCGUAGAUAUCGGGAGGAACACCAGUGGCGAAGGCGACUACCUGGCCUGUUCUUGACGCUGAGGCGCGAAAGCUAGGGGAGCAAACGGG
rnacentral:rRNA from 1 species